AACUUCGGAUUCAAUUCAUCGCAAGAAACAUCCAUUUUUUUUUCUCCGAUUCAAUCAAAAUGGAUUCAACAUUUCCCUUUUCACGAAAGUCUGCUGUGAUAUUCAAACUCGGUCCCUUUAGUCAAUAUCAGCUGCAUGCAGUCUAGUUUCCUGUUUCGGCAGUCGAGCUGCUGGAUGUCAACUAAAAAGAUUGCAAUGGCGUGGAAUAAAUACGAUGCAGCACCAGGCCGAUCCAAAGCUGGUGACAGGUUAGUCUAAAGAGCCAUUUCGUUUCCUGUGUUAACAAGCGACGUUUUCUGCUCCAUGUGUAAUAUUUAUUGAUGAAAUUUACGGUUCAACGAGAGAUGAAACGAAGGAUUGUUGCCCAGGGAGCGGACAUG